UACGUAGGGUGCGAGCGUUUAAUCGGAAUUACUGGGCGUAAAGCGUGCGCAGGCGGUUUUGUAAGCCAGAUGUGAAAUCCCCGGGCUUAACCUGGGAAUGGCAUUUGGGACUGCAAGGCUGGAGUGUGGCAGAGGAGACUGGAAUUCCUGGUGUAGCAGUGAAAUGCGUAGAUAUCUGGAGGAACACCGGUGGCGAAGGCGACAUCCUGGACCGGUAUUGACGCUGAGGCGCGAAAGCCAGGGGAGCAACGGG
rnacentral:rRNA from 1 species